rnacentral:rRNA from 1 species
GACCUGCGGAGGAUCAUUAUCGUAGGGCUUCGGCCCUGUCGAGAUAGAACCCUUGCCUUUUUGAGUACCUUUCGUUUCCUCGGCAGCUUCGGCUGCCAAUGGGGACCCCCAAAAACACUUUGCAGUACCUGUAACAGUCUGAACAAACAAACAAAAAUUAAAACUUUCAACAACGGAUCUCUUGGUUCUGGCAUCGAUGAAGAACGCAGCGAAAUGCGAUAAGUAGUGUGAAUUGCAGAAUUCAGUGAAUCAUCGAAUCUUUGAACGCACAUUGCGCCCUUUGGUAUUCCUUAGGGCAUGCCUGUUCGAGCGUCAUUUAAACCUUCAAGCUCAGCUUGGUGUUGGGUGACUGUCCGCCGCCUCCGGGCGCGUGGACUCGCCUCAAAAUUAUUGGCGGCCGGUACAUUGGCUUCGAGCGCAGCAGAAACGCGAACUCGGGCCCGUCGUAUUGGCUCCCAGAAGCUAUCUUCGCAAUUUUGACCUCGGAUCAGGUAGGGAUACCCGCUGAACUUAAGCAUAUCAAUAAGCGGAGGA